rnacentral:rRNA from 1 species
UACGUAGGGUGCAAGCGUUAUCCGGAAUUAUUGGGCGUAAAGAGCUCGUAGGCGGUUUGUCGCGUCUGCUGUGAAAACUGGAGGCUCAACCUCCAGCCUGCAGUGGGUACGGGCAAACUAGAGUGCGGUAGGGGAGAUUGGAAUUCCUGGUGUAGCGGUGAAAUGCGUAGAUAUCAGGAGGAACACCCGUGGCGAAGGCGGCUCCUGGGCCGAUCCUGACACUGAGAAGCGAAAGCUAGGGGGAGCGAACGGG